rnacentral:misc_RNA from 1 species
CAACCCUCAGCUAACCGCUGGUUUUGAACCUGAACGGGGUAACACCUGCGCUGGUUUUAAAGUUGUAAGCUCUGCUGGCCGCUCUGCCAAACCAGAACAUAGUAAGCUCUACUUGUUUGGGUGAAGCUGGAACGGUUUACGGCCUGAACAAAACCAUUUUUCUUUUAAG